CGGAGGGUGAGUAAUGUCUGGGAAACUGCCCGAUGGAGGGGGAUAACUACUGGAAACGGUAGCUAAUACCGCAUAACGUCGCAAGACCAAAGAGGGGGACCUUCGGGCCUCUUGCCAUCGGAUGUGCCCAGAUGGGAUUAGCUAGUAGGUGGGGUAACGGCUCACCUAGGCGACGAUCCCUAGCUGGUCUGAGAGGAUGACCAGCCACACUGGAACUGAGACACGGUCCAG
rnacentral:rRNA from 1 species